CCCUGUGCUAAAGGUUCAUCCAAGAAGGCUCCCAAGCUGUCACCAUAGUCGAUAAGCUGUACAUCAACCCAACUUUAUCACGCCCAGAACAUCACGCCAUGGCUGUACUCAAUCAGAUUUUGGGUCACUCGGACUAAAUCUUGGGUGGCUGCACAGUCUCAUUGCCAUUGCCUCGAAAUUGAAUUAGAUAUUUGUGGUGAUUUGGUGCAAGAGAUAGCAAACCAGUGCGCGACAUAAUGGG